rnacentral:rRNA from 1 species
UAGGGAAUCUUCGGCAAUGGACGAAAGUCUGACUGAGCAACGCCGCGUGAGUGAAGAAGGUUUUCGGAUCGUAAAACUCUGUUGUGAGAGAAGAACAAGGACGUGAGUAACUGAACGUCCGCUGACGGGAACGAACCAGAAAGCCACGGCUAACUAAGUGACAGCAGCAGCGGUAAUACGAAGGUGGCAAGCGUUGUCCGGAGUUAUUGGGCGGAAAGCGAGCGAAGGCGGUUUCUUAAGGCUGAUGUGAAAGCCCCCGGCUCAACCGGGGAGGGUCAUUGGAAACUGGGUGACUCGAGUGCAGCAGGGGAGAGCGGAAUUCCACGUGUAGCGGUGAAAUGCGUAGAUAUAUGGAGGAACACCAGUGGCGAAGGCGGCUCUCUGGUCUGUAACUGACGCUGAGGCUCGAAAGCGUGGGUAGCAAACAGG